CUACACUGUAAAAAAAAUCUGUAAAAUAACAGUUAAAUGACUGUAUAUUUUAACGGAUUUUUUCCGUAUACACGUAUUACGGGUGUUUUUCCGUUUAUAUACAUUUUCGAAUUGCAUUAUGGGAAGGGGAUCGCAGCUCAGGCAGCGUUUGAUGGACACCGGGCCAUAUUUCUUCCUCUGUUUUUUCCCUGUUGUUUGUCCGUAUUUUUCUAAACUGCCGUGCGCGGGAAGUGAUGUGACGUCCAAUCACCCACUCACUCCCUCUGCACCUGCGUGAGUCUGACUGGAUUAACGGUAAAACGUCAGCUUGUCUGUGAGAGUGUAAAAGGUUCUUUCAUUUUGGUUAUAAGUACAUGGUACAGGUAAAUUC